ACAAUGGAGAGUUUGAUCCUGGCUCAGGACGAACGCUGGCGGCGUGCUUAACACAUGCAAGUCAAGGAGAACAUUCCCUUCGGGGAACUAUUAAACUGGCGAACGGGUGAGUAACACGUAGGCAACCUGCCUUGGAGAUUGGGAUAACCCCGGGAAACCGGAGCUAAUACCGGAUAAUGCAGCGGAUCCUUCGGGAUAUGUUGUUAAAGCGGGCUUCGGCUCGCACUUCAAGAUGGGCCUGCGUCCGAUUAGUUAGUUGGUAGGGUAACGGCCUACCAAGGCGAUGAUCGGUAGCUGGUCUGAGAGGAUGAUCAGCCACACUGGGAUUGAGAUACGGCCCAGACUCCUACGGGAGGCAGCAGUGGGGAAUUUUGCGCAAUGGACGAAAGUCUGACGCAGCAACGCCGCGUGAUCGAUGAAGCUUCUAGGAGUGUAAAGAUCUGUCGUGAGGGAAGAAAAACC
rnacentral:rRNA from 1 species